rnacentral:rRNA from 1 species
UACGGAGGGGGCUAGCGUUAUUCGGAAUUACUGGGCGUAAAGCGCACGUAGGCGGACCAGAAAGUUAGGGGUGAAAUCCCGGGGCUCAACCUCGGAACUGCCUCUAAAACGCCUGGUCUUGAGGUCGAGAGAGGUGAGUGGAAUUCCGAGUGUAGAGGUGAAAUUCGUAGAUAUUCGGAGGAACACCAGUGGCGAAGGCGGCUCACUGGCUCGAUACUGACGCUGAGGUGCGAAAGCGUGGGGAGCAAACAGG